AAGCAUGGCAGCAGCUGAAGCAAAGGAGAAGAGGGAGAGAAACAGCAAGAAGUCAUUCGGCCAGAGAGAAGAAAAUUCUCUCAAAUUGUUUUUGCUUUGUAUUUUUAGUUUUCUCUUCCUAUUGUGAGUGUGUGAGCUUGGGUUAUUUGGGUUUUUGGGAAAUUGAGUGAUAAACACCACUUGUAUAUUCUCAUUGAUUAUAGUGGAAUACUCUUGUCCGCUAUUGUUGUUUAUUUUCACUCAUAGUUGGUUGACGCUUCCGCACAACACACCCCACUUUCUCUUGGUUUUGUAGAGCACAAUCAACAGAAGCAAGGUUUGGAGAGCAGUUCCACAUAUCAUGCCCCCCCAAAGUCCCUGCAUCAAUCACAGGAAUUCAUCAAACACUUGUGAAUUAACGUAACCUACUUGGAAUUUGGAAAUGAUACUAUAUAUCUUAUCUUACCAUCACACCCAGAUUUGCAGUAUAACCAAGAAGAUAUCCGAGAGGAAGUCCAAAAAUGUAGUAACAUCCCAAGUUUAUA